rnacentral:rRNA from 1 species
AGGACGAACGCUGGCGGCGUGCUUAACACAUGCAAGUCGAGCGGUAAGGCCUUUCGGGGUACACGAGCGGCGAACGGGUGAGUAACACGUGGGUGAUCUGCCCUGCACUUCGGGAUAAGCCUGGGAAACUGGGUCUAAUACCGGAUAUGACCUCCUAUCGCAUGGUGGGUGGUGGAAAGAUUUAUCGGUGCAGGAUGGGCCCGCGGCCUAUCAGCUUGUUGGUGGGGUAAUGGCCUACCAAGGCGACGACGGGUAGCCGACCUGAGAGGGUGACCGGCCACACUGGGACUGAGACACGGCCCAGACUCCUACGGGAGGCCAGCGAGGUGGGAAGUAUUGCAACGAAUGGGACGAAAGGCCUGAUGCAGCGACGCCGCGUGAGGAUGACGGCCGUUCGGGUUGUAAACCUCUUUACGAGCGAGGACGAACGCGACAAGUGUAACCGGUACCUA